ensembl:snoRNA SNORD38B small nucleolar RNA, C/D box 38B
ACCUUAUGAUGAAAACUUUGUCCAGUUCUGCUACUGAAUGUUAGUGGUGACAGCUCAAAUUCUGAAGG